rnacentral:rRNA from 1 species
AGUGGCGGACGGGUGAGUAACGCGUGAGGAACCUGCCUUUCAGAGGGGGACAACAGUUGGAAACGACUGCUAAUACCGCAUAACGCGUAGAGAUCGCAUGGUCUUUACGCCAAAGAUUUAUCGCUGAAAGAUGGCCUCGCGUCUGAUUAGCUGGUUGGUGAGGUAACGGCCCACCAAGGCGACGAUCAGUAGCCGGACUGAGAGGUUGAACGGCCACAUUGGGACUGAGAUACGGCCCAGACUCCUACGGGAGGCAGCAGUGGGGAAUAUUGGGCAAUGGGCGCAAGCCUGACCCAGCAACGCCGCGUGAAGGAAGAAGGCUUUCGGGUUGUAAACUUCUUUUGUCAGGGACGAGCAGAAGACGGUACCUGACGAAUAAGCCACGGCUAACUACGUGCCAGCAGCCGCGGUAAUACGUAGGUGGCAAGCGUUGUCCGGAUUUACUGGGUGUAAAGGGCGUGUAGCCGGGAGGGCAAGUCAGAUGUGAAAUCCACGGGCUUAACUCGUGAACUGCAUUUGAAACUGUUCUUCUUGAGUAUCGGAGAGGCAAUCGGAAUUCCUAGUGUAGCGGUGAAAUGCGUAGAUAUAUGGAAGAACACCAGUGGCGAAGGCGGCUCUCUGGUCUGCAACUGACGCUGAGGCUCGAAAGCAUGGGUAGCGAACAGGAUUAGAUACCCUGGUAGUCCAUGCCGUAAACGAUGAGUGCUAAGUGU